GCCGGGUGGAGGGGCUCCUCACUUCUCAGACGGGGCGGCCGUUUUGGAAGUAACAAGAAGGGAUGAAAUGAAUAUCAUGAAGAAGAGUGACUGCUUCAAGUGAGGAAAGUACAGGAUCUUCAAAUGAAAGGAUUGUAGCCUCCUCAUGCAGAAGAAAAAAAUGG